GAUGAACGCUGGCGGCGUGCCUAAUACAUGCAAGUCGAACGGACAGACGCGGAGCUUGCUCCUCUGACGUUAGCGGCGGACGGGUGAGUCACACGUGGAUCACCUCCCUAUCAUACUGAGAUCACUUCGGGAAACCGGAGCUAAUACCGGAUAAUAUAUUGAACCGCAUGGUUCAUUGGUGAAAGACGGUUUUGCUGUCGGUUGGGGAUGGAUUCGCGCCGCAUUAGCUAGUUGGUGGGGUCGAGGCUUAACAAGGCAACGAUGGGUAGCCGGCCUGAGAGGGUGAACGGCCACAUUGGGACUGAGAUACGGCCCAGACGCCUACGGGAGGCAGCAGUGGGGAAUAUUGCACAAUGGGCGGAAGCCUGAUGCAGCAACGCCGCGUGCGGGAAGACGGCCUUCGGGUUGUAAACCGCUUUCGCCUGUGACGAAGCGUGAGUGACGGUAAUGGGUAAAGAAGCACCGGCUAACUACGUG
rnacentral:rRNA from 1 species